UCGAGAAUCUUCGGCAAUGGGCGCAAGCCUGACCGAGCGAUGCCGCGUGCGGGAUGAAGGCCUUCGGGUUGUAAACCGCUGUCAGAGGGGAUGAAAUACGGUGGGGGUCCUCCCCCAUGUUUGACAGAUCCUCAGAGGAAGUGUGGGCUAAGUUCGUGCCAGCAGCCGCGGUAAGACGAACCACACAAACGUUAUUCGGAAUUACUGGGCUUAAAGGGUGCGUAGGCGGCCUGGCAAGUUGGGUGUGAAAUACCUCGGCUUAACCGAGGAAUGGCGCUCAAAACUGCCGGGCUUGAGGGAGAUAGAGGUGAGCGGAACUUAAGGUGGAGCGGUGAAAUGCGUUGAUAUCUUAAGGAACACCCGUGGCGAAAGCGGCUCACUGGAUCUCUUCUGACGCUCAGGCACGAAAGCCAGGGGAGCGAACGG
rnacentral:rRNA from 1 species